GGGAGGCAGCAGUGGGGAAUAUUGGUCAAUGGGCGCAAGCCUGAACCAGCCAUCCCGCGUGAAGGAAGAAGGCGCUAUGCGUUGUAAACUUCUUUUCCAGGGGAAGAAAAUUUUGUACGUGUACAGAAUUGACGGUACCCUGGGAAUAAGCAUCGGCUAACUCCGUGCCAGCAGCCGCGGUAAUACGGAGGAUGCGAGCGUUAUCCGGAUUUAUUGGGUUUAAAGGGUGCGUAGGCGGAUCAAUAAGUCAGUGGUGAAACCCUGCAGCUUAACUGUAGACUUGCCAUUGAUACUGUUGGUCUUGAGUGUGGUCAAGGUAGGCGGAAUGUGUAAUGUAGCGGUGAAAUGCUUAGAUAUUACACAGAACACCGAUUGCGAAGGCAGCUUGCUGGGCCAUUACUGACGCUGAUGCACGAAAGCGUGGGGAUCGAACAGGAUUAGAUACCCCGGU
rnacentral:rRNA from 1 species